ensembl:lncRNA
GGAAGCCCGGAGGGCAGGUUGGCUGAGAGCUGCUGAGGUUCUCCCUCACACGGGACUCGGCUCUUUUCCAAUGGACUGUGGCCCCGUGUGAUCCGUCGGCCUGCGGUGACAAUCAAAACCGAGGCGCAGCGUGUUACACUCACAUCACUGAAAAGCACAACUUCAGUCAGGAGAGCAAAGGAUCUGAUCCACAGACAGAGAGAGACGCAGAAGUGAGGAUGAGACAAAAGACUCAUUUGAACAAACACUGUGCUCCAAACUCCUUAUUUGCAGCACACAAGCCAUCUGUGUGAGGUCACCUGUCCCCGGCUAUCCACACCACAGACUCAUGUUCACUUACAAAUCAACCAACGUGUCCACUGGAUUCGCUCUGGCGGGAAAAUGCACCAAACAAUCACAUUUGUAUUUCUUGCAUGUGUCUCACUUUUGCUGUUUCUCCUGUCACUCACUCACUCGCAAACAAAUAUUGGAAGACUUACAUCCAGUAAGCUGCGCACACACACACACACACACACACACAGACACACACACACAUGAUUGAUUUGCCCCCUCUCCAGUUUUACAACGACUGCUUUGGCAGUUUGGCAAACAGCCGGUGUUUACUGAGCCUGUCGAUGGGCUAUGUAAUCGUAUAUUUCCACCGAGAGUGUCUGUUAGCAAGGACGCUAAUUAGCAAACGAUUAAGCUCUCACACAAAAGAGGUUCUUCAGAUUAAUUGGCGGUAAAGUUAACAAAAGCUUGUGGCUCAGUAAAUAGUUUAGCGAGAACAAUAGCACACCUUGUCACACUGUGUUUUAUGUUUUCAGAUGAGUAAUUGCUAUUGUGUAGACUAAGGACGUAUCACUGUUCAACCACGGCUCUCUACAGUGAACAAAGUUACACACGAUGACAAGCAUGAAGACGCCGCCCGGCUCCAGAUCACGUGCUUGAGCAAUACUUGGUACGGGCUGCAUUGACAAAUGUGUACACGAAGCAACAACAUGUACAACUAAAACAUACGUAUUUGGGGAAAAUACAUUCUUUGGAAGCAGUCUCCGUUGAUCCAGGGGCGUCCUGAAACUAUUUGCUCCAAACAACAAUUUGCAAAAACAUCUGUUAAUGAAGAGGGCGUCCCAACUAGGGGUUUGUAAAUGGUGGAAACAGUUAAAGAUCCCACCGACUGGCUACGAAACUGGGAAAUUGCUUUCCUGAACUCCAGCAGUGCUUCCGGUCUACACAACUAUUUACCUCUGGACCUCGUUGGAUCAGCAGUGUAAACAAGACACAACCUACAAACUGGUUAUAUAGUUUAUCUAACGAGAAUAAACAUGGAAAUACUGCAGCCCCAACAUCAUCCAGAUUAGGCUGCGGAAUAAAUUUGGCAUUUAAAGAAAAAAAAAUGUUUGCUGAUGCAACAAGAAAGCAAGAGAUGAAACCUCCUAAUGAGCAUGUCUGGUAGCAAUGUAUGUUUUGCUUCUUUAACAGACAUGUACACAUGUACAAGCAGUUCUGAAAGUGGGAACCCGGCCGUGCCUUCUCCUCCUCCCCAAUGAACAAAGAUGAAUGCUUGUUUGCAAAAUAACCUGUUGGUUUUUUACAGGGAAUCCACCAACCUUAUUGUGUCAACUUCAAGAAGAUAUUUAUUAGAGAUUUGUCCCGCUUAUGUUUCCGACAAGCAACACACG